UGCUCUGGUCGUGGUGUAGGCCAGCAGCUGUAGCUCCCAUUUGACCCCCAGCAUGGGAAUUCAUAUAUGCCGUGCAUGUGGCCCUAAAAAGAGAAAGAAAGGAAAGAACUGACUAUCAAAAUGUGGAGUGAGGAGUUCCCGCUGUGGCUCAUGGGUUAAUAAUUUAGCUAUGUUUAUGUGGCAGCGCCGGCUCCAUCCCUGUCCUGGCACAAUGGGAUAAGGAUCUUACAUUGCUGCAGCUAGGCACUGGGAACUUCCAUAUGCGACAAGGGCAGCUGAAAAAGAAAAAGUGGAGUAAGAACUGUAUGUUGGUCCCUAAUGGGAUACAAUAUUGGCUCUAUGUUUAUUCUGAGGGAACCCGAAACAAAGCACAUGGUUCACCUGCUUCUCGAAGCUCCAAAUCCCUCUGCUGUCUUGCCUACCAUGGCUCUGUCUGAAACCAAACACGGUGGGUGAAGUCAUAAAUUUAGUCUAAAGCUUCCGUCUUUCUUGUAUUGGAAGAACCUUAAGGCACUAUUGAUUAGACCCCAGAUAUGGAUAGAUGCACUUUGUGUCAGACCCACAAUUUGGUAUUACGUGCCUUUUUGGUUUUCUAGGUUUGGGAAACAUCUGAAAUACUGUCUGGUUAGCUCCUGUGAUCUGCACAAAUUAUAUUUCACAGAAAUCCAGGAGCGUCCCCUUUAAGAAGCGUGAACCCCAGCCCUGUUCAGAGAGCCUCGCAAAACUCCUUCCCAACAACCCUUGUGGCGGGGCGGGACCCAGGCCCGGGCGAGAGCGCUGUGAGCUCCAUUACCCAGAGGACACCGCGCCCGGUGGGCACUUCCGAGUCAGAUAAUGGCUUCUGGGUGGGCCUUCCGGCGGCGUCAACCACGGGUAACACUUCUAAAUUCGGAUUGUUCCCGCGCUCGAGUUUCGAGAGGCCAGGCCACCAUGAGGUAUGGGAGGUAGGCAGGCGUUGUGUACGCGGCUCUUUGCGGGGGAGGGUUGUCUGAGGCUCGGCGUGGCCGCUGGAGGCCGGCACAGCUUUCGCCCACGGACGCCGCCGCUGGAGGCCACCGAGCUGUUGGAUCCGCCUCAAGUAAGUGCUGCGCCCUCCGGGCCCUCUUCCUACUCUAUUCAUUCAACAGUGUUUUUAUUCUUAUCAGUGUUUUCAUAAGGUGUGUCCUGUGUUUAUAUUUUUUUGUUCCUCCCAAACCUUGGUUUUCCGAAUUUUUAAAUACGACCGGCACAGAAAAAAAAUGCACGGAACUUCUAUGUGGAAUUGAGUAAAAUUGUGAAAAUUAAUAUUCAUUCGCAGCUCAGGUCAAGAAAUGGGAUUCAGGAGUUGACUGAUGGCUCAGAGGGUUAAGGAUCUGGCAGUGUCGCUGCUGUGGCGCGGGUUCAGUCCCUGGCCUCCGAACUUCCUCUUGGCGGCGGCUGCCACAAAAAAUGCGCUGUAAAUAGGACCCCAGAAGCCGCCUCUGCGACCCUUCCAAAACAACUAUCCCCACCCCCCAAAACACUUAACAGCCUUUUGUGGUGGAACCUGGGGAGUGUCUGUCAGAAUGUCAAGUGACUUUACCCAAGAUGUGUCCCGUGGGUGUGGAUUUUGAGUGGCUGUUAAAGGGACAGAGAUUGUACCUGAUGAAGAGACCUCAUGUCCAGGGAAGAAGUGGAACCUGAUCAGAGGUUGUUAGAUCCGCAUGGUGUGACGGAAGUUGGAGUCUCGAACAAGGCCUGGUAGGGAAGCCUUCAGAAGAGGGCUGGGGAGCUGCCAGUGGAGACGUGGGGUACAGUGGGGUUGUGUUGCAUUGGCCAAGUACUUCCUGAAUGCCAUGUGCAGAAGGGUAUGUGAGGAGGCAGGGGAUGUGGCAGUUUUGUGGGCCAGGUGGUAGCGAUGGGGUCAGAUGUACGUGGAGGUCUGAUGAGUAAUACGCAUGUGGGAAGGACUUGUGAACCCAGGGCCCUGAUCCCAGGCCCACAGUUUAGAUGGCAUCUGUCUCUCCACCUGCCUGUUGCUGAGGGGUGGAGCUUGUGCUCAAGGAAGCAAAGAGAGGUAUUGGCCGUCUAAGUGAGAGAGCUGGAGAGGAUGAUGAGCACGGAGUGAAUGUGGGCUGGUGUUAUAGGUACUCCUGAGGUCCUGGGGAGAGAGCCUGCUUAUGGACACCUCUGUCCCCGUCAUCACAGGGCUCUGUGACCUUUGAGGACGUGGCUGUGUACUUUUCCCAGGAGGAAUGGAAGCUUCUUCAUGAGGCCCAGAGACUCCUGUACCGAGAUGUGAUGCUGGAGACCUUUGCACUUGUUGCAUCAUUGGGACUUGCAUCUUCUAGGUCCCAUGUUGUCCAGCUGGAGCUGGGAGGAGAACCCUGGGUACAUGACAGAGUGGACAUGACUCCAGGCACAGCAAGAGGGCCUCAGAAUGGGCCUGGCCCUGGUGAUUCACAUCUGGGGGAGGAUGUGAUGUCACAGCUGGGUUCACACCAUACCAGGAACAUGUCCUGUGCCCUGCACUGUUUGGGUGCCAUGGCCAGGGGCUGUGUACCUCAUUUCUGCCUUUCCUGCCCAUUCUUGACACUUUGCUCCUUCUCUCAUUUCUACUCUGCCUUCCGGCCCAGAAUUAUCCUCAUCUCGUCUUCCACUCCUCAUACGUCUACUCCAUCCUCACUCUGCUGUGGUACGUAAUAUUGGUGAAAACUUAAUGUGUCAUAAGGUCUGCAUCCGUUCUUAAGAUAGUCCUUGAACACCAGCUCCUCAGUGACAGGUGGAUUUUCUUGGCAUGGACAAAACCUUCACACAACACACAUGUGUCACCAGCAGCCAAGACCCUGGUGAAAACCUCGACUGGAUGAGUUUUACAGCUGUGGCUCCUUCAUGCACUUCACCCCAUCCUUGUGUCUUUUGCCUGGUUGCUGGCUUGGAGCUGAGUACAAUGAGACACCUUCUGAGCAGAAUAUUUCUGUAGAAAUGCCCCAGAUAAAUCCUUCAAAGUAUUUUGAAGAUGGCCUGUCCCUGGGAGAGAUGUAGGCUGCACUUAGUGAUUUGCAUCUAGCUGAGGUUGCAGGAACAACCUUUGCCAGAACCUGUGGGGGCAAGAGUGAAGCACAGUGGAGAAAAAGUCUUUGGAAGUGAUGUGGGUAAGGCCUUCAUGAAGAGUCACACAGUCCAUACUUCCAAGUUGUCUGUAACAUGCCAGGAGGCUGAGAAGGAUUUCCUGGGUAGCUGUGUCCUUCAGCUUCAGGUCCUGUCACAAAAGGACACUGAGUGUGAGGAGGCCUUUCCCAGUGGACAAAGGCAAUACCAAUGCAGUGAAUGUGGGAAAGCCUGCUGAAAUACAGGCCUGCUGAACACCAGAGAGUCCAUACUGGAGCGAGGCAGUUUGUGUGGGAAAAUCUUCAGCUCUAAAGGCAAACUUUUUCUUCACUGAAGAGUCCACACUGGAGAUAGGCCUUAUGAGUGCAAUGAAUGUGGAAAAGCCUUCUGCUAUAAAGAUUCACUUGUUCAACGCCAGAAAACCAGCUCUGGAGAUUUGUUCCAUAAGUGCUGUGAGUGUGGGAAAGGCUUCAGCUGCAAAUAUUACUUGCUCAGCACCAGAGUGUCCACACUAGAGAAAGGCCUUAUGAAUGAAGUUGAUGUGUUAAAACCUUUAAUUAGAAAUACCAACUUGUUGAGCCCAGGGGAGGCCACACUGGAGAACAUCCUUAUGAUGAAUGCAGUCAGUGUGGGGAUGUCUCCAGCUCUAAAGGCAAGCUUGUUCAGCACCAGAGCAUCCACACUGGAGAGAGGCCUUAUGAGUGUUGUCAAUGUGCCAAGUUCUUUAGGCAAAAUUUCAGUCUUAUGAACCAACAGAGAAUUGACACUGGAGCAACACCUUAUGAAUGUAGUGAAUGCUUGAAAUCCUUUUGCCAGAAGUCCUCCCUUAAUCAACACUGUAGAGUUCACACUGGAGCAACACCUUAUAAAUGCAUUGAAUAGAGGAAAUUCUUUUCCUCCCACACUCAUCUAAUUAAACACUUGUGAAUCCACACUGGGGAAAGGCAUUAUGAGUAUUUUGAAGGUGGGAAAUCCUUUAAUCAAUGUUCCACACUCAUUAGACAUCAAUGAAUUGGCACUGGUGAAAGGGCAUAUGAAUGUACUGAAUGUGUUGAAACCUUUAACCAGAGCACCCAGCUUACUUUAUAAUGAAAAGUUCACACCAUAGAAAGGCCUCAUAAGUGCAGCAAAUGUGGGAAAGUCUUCUGUCCAAGGUUUGCUUUCACUGAGCACUAGAAACUUUACAGCCUUUAUAAACCUUAUUAGUGCAGCAAAUGCAGGAAAAGUUUCAGCCAAAGUUCUAACCUUCUUUGCCACCGUAAUCUUUAUACUGAGGAAAGGCCUUCAAAUGAGGUGAGUGAGCACCAAGUGAUAAUGAUAAUAAGUACAUAAUACUAAGUAUGUUUGUGCAGUUGUCAUCAAUUUGAGAUUGAACUCCAUACAUCUGAACAUCCCUGGUGUGGAGAUAGCUUCUGACUUCUGGGUCAUAGAAGCUAUGGUAUACUUUAUAACCUGCCCAGGACUGUUGCCAGACUUAAUGUCACUGUGAGUGUCUUCCACCAAGUUUCAGAUCCCCAUAGUGGGCAACACCCCUGAGGAUGACCAAGCUAGGUAGACCUUGUGCUCUCACAGCCUGUGGAACGAAGCAUGUGUAGCCUGAGCAGAUGGGUGUUUGUCAUUCUCUUGUGUCUGCCUAGCCCAUGGACCUAACUGCCUUUGACCAGGGGGAUCUUCUCUGGGUGCUCCUGGUGGCUUACAAAGGUUUACCUUGUUUAGUGGCAUGUCUCAUGUCAUGCUCAGGUUGGAUUUUUCUAGCUCCAAGGUACUGUUUGGAAAGUGUCUCCUUCAAUUUGCUCUGUUCUCUGCCAUAAUAAAGUUAUUAUUUAAGCUACAUUUCAUCCUGGGUAUUUUGCAAUGGUUUUGAGAACCAAAUUGAACCAUCAAGAUGAAGAGGAACAGGUUUUGUGGGCAUUCUAAACUCAGUAUACCUCACUGAGAAUAGCAUCAUGGCAGAGAACAGUUUGCACUCCAGUUUUGCUCUAGUUUGUAUGGUUAUCCAAGGCUUCCUGGGAAAGACUAUGGAUUUGUGUGACUAGUCUUGUGACCUAGACAAUGUUACAAUUUUUGGUAGGUCUAGGAGUCACCCUGACAAUCAUCAGUGUUUUCUGGGGCAGCACUUGUUCUCUUUUUCACAUGGGAUGUUGCAUAAUACCCCCAACACUUUAAAAAAGAAGAUAUUUUCUAGAUCCACCUGGAAAAAACCUUGUUCCCUAAUGUCCAAAUUUGGUAACCUGGUGUUACUGAGUAUAGACAUUAGGGUGGGAACCAUAUAUGCCACAGAAACACACAGGGAAUUCAUAGGGAGUUUAGCAAACAAGAGGAAUGAGCCUAUUCUUAAGUUGUAUCCAGGAGUUCCCAUUGUUUGUUGGGGGUAAGAAUCCAACUAGUGUCCAUGAGUUUGCAGGUUUGAUCCCUACCCUUUCUCAGUAGGUAAGGAUCCCGUGUUGCUAACAAAUUACCCACCCCUCCCACAUACACCUUCUGAUAUCUCUUCUAUCCAACUAUUUUCACAUUCAGCUAUUUUUUCUAGACUUGUAUUCAUCUUUUUCUUUCAUAAUGAAUGCCUAAUUAUGUCAAGAAUCAUCUAAGUUGUAAAUGUGAAGUCUUCAAUAAUUUCUGAAAAAUAUACAAUUUGGAUAUACUA